rnacentral:rRNA from 1 species
AAAUUGAAGAGUUUGAUCAUGGCUCAGAUUGAACGCUGGCGGCAGGCCUAACACAUGCAAGUCGAGCGGUAGCACAGAGAGCUUGCUCUCGGGUGACGAGCGGCGGACGGGUGAGUAAUGUCUGGGAAACUGCCUGAUGGAGGGGGAUAACUACUGGAAACGGUAGCUAAUACCGCAUAACGUCGCAAGACCAAAGUGGGGGACCUUCGGGCCUCAUGCCAUCAGAUGUGCCCAGAUGGGAUUAGCUAGUAGGUGGGGUAACGGCUCACCUAGGCGACGAUCCCUAGCUGGUCUGAGAGGAUGACCAGCCACACUGGAACUGAGACACGGUCCAGACUCCUACGGGAGGCAGCAGUGGGGAAUAUUGCACAAUGGGCGCAAGCCUGAUGCAGCCAUGCCGCGUGUGUGAAGAAGGCCUUCGGGUUGUAAAGCACUUUCAGCGGGGAGGAAGGCGAUAAGGUUAAUAACCUU